rnacentral:rRNA from 1 species
AACGAACGCUGGCGGCAGGCCUAACACAUGCAAGUCGAGCGAGGACUUCGGUUCUAUCUGCGGACGUGUGAGUAACGCGUGGGAAUGUGCCCUUCUCUACGGUAUAGUCCUGUGAAACUGGGAUUAAUACCGUAUACGCCCUAAUGGGGAAAGAUUUAUCGGAGCAGGAUCAGCCCUCGUUAGAUUCGGUAGUUGGUGGGGUAUUGGCCUACCAACGCGACGAUGCAGAGCUGGUUGGAGAGGAUGACAAGUCAGAAUGGGGCUGAGACACGGACCAGAACGGGACGGGAGGGAGGAGUAGAGAAUAUUAGACAAUGGAGGCAAAUCUGACAAAGCCAUGCGGGGGAUGAGAGGAAGGGGGUAGGGUUGCAAAGCUGUCUGAGAUGGGAAGAGAAUGACGGUAACAGGAGAAGAAGCACCGGCUAACUACGUG